AGAGUUUGAUCCUGGCUCAGGACGAACGCUGGCGGCGUGCUUAACACAUGCAAGUCAAGGAGAACAUUUUCUUCGGAGAAUUAUUAAACUGGCGAACGGGUGAGUAACACGUAGGUAAUCUGCCUUAGAGAUUGGGAUAACUCGGCGAAAGCCGGACUAAUACCGAAUAAUACAGCUAAUCUUUUGGGAUAUGCUGUUAAAGCGGGCUUCGGCUCGCACUCUGAGAUGAGCCUGCGUCCGAUUAGCUUGUUGGUGAGGUAAUGGCUUACCAAGGCGAUGAUCGGUAGCUGGUCUGAGAGGAUGAUCAGCCACACUGGAACUGACACACGGUCCAGACUCCUACGGGAGGCAGCAGUGAGGAAUUUUGCGCAAUGGGGGAAACCCUGACGCAGCAACGCCGCGUGAGUGAUGAAGGCUUUCGGGUCGUAAAGCUCUGUCAAGUGGGAAGAACCCACAUGGUGAUAAUACCGCCAUGUGUUGACGGUACCA
rnacentral:rRNA from 1 species